AUGUUUUUGGUGCCCAGUUGCCCCCACCUGGCUGAAAGGAGAAAUGCAGGCAACCGAAAGAUCCCGGCUGAAAGGAAACCUAGGCGGAGCAGCUCCUCCUUAAUCUUUGGCAACCAGCAGUGGUUCCACAGAAGUGGCGUUCAGCCUCAGCCCCUUCAAAAUUGUGUAGAUGUGGACAAAUGCCUGAACUGAAGUAAAUGUCUUGGGCUGAGAGGAAUGAACAUUACCCAGAAAUGAGAAGAGGUUUCCUUCCUGUUGGGAAUGUGCAGGGACAGAUGCUAGAUGCUUAGGCAGUGUUAAUUCCACACCUCAUGGCUCCAGAGACCGUCGAGAAGCUGUCUCUUUCAGUCCAGUUAACAUAAACACUUGAGAAAGCCUAGGGAAGGAGAACUCAGUUCAAAGCUUGCCAAAGGAAAUGAAAAUACUCAGGAGCUGAUAUUGGCAGGCUGAAUAUUUUCUCAGUGAAAUUGGUGCAACACUGGCCUGACUUACCUGAAGGAGCAAAGUGAGUGGAUGAAGCAAUCCUAUGACACUAAUACUUCUCACGCACGCUCAGAUCCACGAGGGUAUUUAGAGGCUUAAUUUCUUUCAAUUUCAUUUAUGAAGGCAUCCAAGUAUCCUGCUACACAGAGCCUAUUUUGAAUCUUGCAUUGAAAGAAGCUUCUUUCCCACUUUUACCUUGCUGGUCUUUCCCAGCAGAUACAUCCUUCAGUGCCUAUAUGGGCAGAGAGGUGCCAGAGUGCUUUCCUGGGACACCAUUAAUGCUCAUACAGCUGCAACAAGCCACUUGUAGAAACCAAAUCCUUUGAGAUCUGCACAUAACUUGCAAGUGUCCAUGUGCUUCUCCUCCACUUGGUGUCUCUCUUUAGUCUCAAAUCUGGGGCUGGAUCUCCAGAAUUUCUCUCUUGGGGGAUGACUAUUUGUUAUUUGCAUUAUAGAAGUACCCCAAAGUUUUAGUUAAGCAGCACGACUCCCUAAUGGGCAGCAACACACAGAACCACAAAACAUGAUACUCUCUUCCCCUCUCUGUGUAGCUUUGCUGUUCUCUCCCCAUCCAUUUUAAAUGUUUAAGAUAUUAAGAUACUUACUUUGUGCUGUUUUCUCUUGAAAAUAACGAAUUUGUUGUCCAACUUAAUCCAGUUCACAUUACCCAUAAUUUGACUCACCCUCUCACCAGUGCUGGAGUUUGCAGGCACACAAGUGAAACACAAAGCAUUACUUCACCGAAUUCUAAAUUGCAUUUUUUUAAAGGGAUGAAUUCAAAAUAACGUCAAAUAAAAAUGCAGUCUUUGUUCUUGGUGCA
rnacentral:lncRNA from 1 species